rnacentral:rRNA from 1 species
AUUGAACGCUGGCGGCAGGCCUAACACAUGCAAGUCGAGCGGCAGCGGGAAAGUAGCUUGCUACUUUUGCCGGCGAGCGGCGGGCGGGUGAGUAAUGCCUGGGGAUCUGCCCAGUCGAGGGGGAUAACUACUGGAAACGGUAGCUAGUACCGCAUACGCCCUACGGGGGAAAGCAGGGGACCUUCGGGCCUUGCGCGAGUGGAUGAACCCAGGUGGGAUUAGCUAGUUGGUGAGGUAAUGGCUCACCAAGGCGACGAUCCCUAGCCGGUCGGAGAGGAUGAUCAGCCACACUGGAACUGAGACACGGUCCAGACUCCUACGGGAGGCAGCAGUGGGGAAUAUUGCACAAUGGGGGAAACCCUGAUGCAGCCAUGCCGCGUGUGUGAAGAAGGCCUUCGGGUUGUAAAGCACUUUCAGCGAGGAGGAAAGGUUGGUAGCUAAUAACUGCCAGCUGUGACGUUACUCGCAGAAGAAGCACCGGCUAACUCCGUGCCAGCAGCCGCGGUAACAC